rfam:Ixodes scapularis strain Wikel colony gcontig_1108379886268, whole genome shotgun sequence.
CCCUGGUUAGCUCAGUUGGUAGAGCGCUCCACUAGUAAUGGAGAGGUCCCGGGUUCAAUACCCGGACCAGGCG